rnacentral:lncRNA from 1 species
CCGAUUUUUCCAAUUGAAUGACCAAACGUAUACGAUAUCGAGUCAAUAUUGCCAAUGCGGUGACUCAAUACAUAUGCAUGAAAGACGAAAUCUCGUACAUGUUCUUAGCUAUUAAUUAUGCUACGUAGAUGACGAAACCUAGCAAUAUGAACCCCUAUAUAUGAUGACCUUGAUCGCCUAUGGCUCCUUCCUACGACAAGGCCUGUUUUUGCCUUCACAUGAUCAUAGCGAUUUCGGAACGACUGGGCGUGCAAUGAUGCAUGUACAAUUUUGACACGACGAUGUGUGUUUUCGGUUGCACACUUGCGCGCUAAUCUUCUUACUCUGGCCCACCGUCUGAUUGUAUCCGUGGUCGCAAUAACAAGUUUGAACUAAUAAUCUAGAGUAACAUAAUCCACCGUAGUAUUAAAAAUAAUUGUAAAAACGUCAACAGUUUAACAUACUAGAGCAAAUUAACAUGCAUGCAUGGUGACCAAAUUAAUUACACAUGUACAUAUAAUCAUCGCUGAAUCCCCAUCGUUGAAACUUUAAAAUUACAAGUAGUCCAUCGAUCGAUCAUCAUCAUCCCCGCACCCCAUCAACUGCUACGUACGGAUGAACUAAUUAACACACGCAUGCAUGCAAAUAUACGAUGCUUAAUUAAUUAACACCGAUCGAUCCCCAUUAAAACCAAACCACAUCGAUCAGACGUCGAAGGUGUUCUUGCCGGUGAACUUGACCUCAAUCGGGCUAACAUUCUUCCCGAUGCUCCUGAAAUUCUGCCCGACGCCCUGCCUGCCGGCGUUCACCUUCUCCGGGUACACCCCGUCCUUGGGGUGGAGGUACUGCACCUCGCCGCUGGGGAAGACGCGGUAGAACUGGUAGGCGAUCUUGUACUUGGAGCGGAGCCGGUUGCCGAGCGCCAGGCACUGCUCCUUGCGCGCCAGCUUGAGGAGGUUGGGCCCCUCACGCAUGAUGGCGGCGCCGCCCGUCGGCAUCUCGAACACCUGCUCCUUGGGCGACGUCCACGUGAUGACGUAGAAUUCCUCGACCUGGGCUUUGCGGAGGAGCCCGCCCGUGCUGCCGCCGAAGAUUGGGGAUGGGGUUGAGGGGUCGAGCUGGGGCGGGACGAAGCCGGCGGGGGCUGGGGUGGCGACGGGAGCCGCCGGGGUUUCUGGGGCGGCGGCGUGGAGGGCGGUUGGGGCGCGGGAGGUGGGGGAAGGGAAGGCGAGGGAGCGGGGUUUGGGGGAGGAGGAAGGGGACCGGGUGGCGGCGAGGAGGUGGCGGGUGGCGGCGGAGGCUUGCGUGGCCAUGGCCAUGGCGGGAGCUAGCUUAGCGAGAGCAAGGAGCGCGCGUGUGGGGGAUGGAUAUGGAUCGGAGUUGAUGGAGGGAAGAAGAAGAAGGGGUGGCUGAGCUUUGGCUAAAGAGGGGAUUGGGGGUGGAGAAGCGGAUAAGGGGAUAUGAGGCCGGCCAAUGGGGAGCCCGGGUUUUGAUACGGCCGGAGCGGGAGGCUUGGCGUGGCGACCACAGAAAACACAAUACAAAUCGCAGCGUGUCAACGUGCACUGGGGUCGCCGGUCGCGGUUUUCCGUGGAUUUUCCUUCCACUCUGUAUGUAUCCGACGACGUUCUAGAUCUUUUCCGUAAAGAGUUGCUUUAGUCGAUUUAAGGUGAGAGCAUUGGAAGCACUACAUGUAACGUGAAACACUGGCGUAACGUAAGUUGUAUUGCUCCAUAACCAGCUGCGACAUUCAUGUAGUGCUUACAUUGUAGUAGAAGGUAAGUACAAGUACAAGGGCUGCCGAGUGUACAGGUGUGCCGUUGAUUCAGGCCGGGAAUUGGGGACGUUGUCACGUUGACUUGGCCCAAACAAAGGAGAGUAGACUACUCUAAUUUGGUCUUCCCUGGAAACCUGGAGAGCCUGUCUCCUAGUGGUACAGGCUUAUGUUGCAGGCCGGGCUACAGGUGCGUAUUACGUAUUGGCUGGGCCGGCCUUUUCUGGGCCGGACAAGAUCGGUAGAAACAAUUUUUCCGAGGCAGGUAAACUGGCUCUAACGAAAUUUGCUGAAUUUGUUUUAUGAAUUUGGUGUAAAAAAAUACACAUGAAAGUAUGAUUAAAUUUAUCAGCGAAAUAAUUCAAUAAGAAAAAACAUGGGUACAUGAAACGGGAUUAUCAGAAACAUUCACGUUGUACCCCCUCCGUCCUAAAUAAGAAGUCCUAGGUUUAUAGAAAAGUCUAGAACUAUAAAUUACUUUUAUGAAAUCUUUCAUCGUAUGGCACCAUCUUUAUCUCGCCUUCAGCAUCGAUAUUCAGAGCCUUGAUUCCACCUGAUCAUCAUUGGGUCAGCUUGUUUCUGUUCGUACGAUGUCUCACAUACCAACCGAUUCUACACUCUGUACAUCAUCGAUGACCAUAAGGAUUUGCGCUAAUCCGCUCCUCCCGUUGUCCAUCGUCCGUCCGUGUGAGUCAUCUUGUAGCUCGCUCGUGUCAUCCUGCGUGCAUGUUCUCUUUCAGAAUGGUGAGAGGGCAUGCCUGCUCAAAUAUGGGACAGCAUGUCAACAAGCUCCCAUUCACUCUCUGCCACAUAUCCAGAUGAUGCUUGAAAUGCUUGAAAACUAAUGCAUGACGGGAGUUGGCAGGAGACAAGGGUGAUGACCUAAGGGGCCACGAAAAAGAAAAGAGGAAGAGAAAAUACAAGGACAUUUUGGUCUAAAUUCCUACCGUGUUUCUGUAAGUUUCAAGAAGUUGAUGUCGAAUUUAUCCGAAAUUGGUUUUUCUCAGCAGCUUCUAUUAAUACAGAAAAAUUGUCCUUGCAAUGGCAUUUAGCCAAUUAAUUAUAAGGAAAUAGUUUCUUGAAUCUUCAAAAUAAUCGUAUGAAAGAAAACCAUGCGGUUGCAAAUAUGGAUCCUUUCAACACCCACGUUUUCUUCAACAAAACAAGUCUUAGAAAAUAUAGCCGCUGCACCCACGACCCAACCUAGGGCGCCAAAGCCAAACUGUAGACCAGAAAAACCCUGGACCAUCCACGCCGUCCAUCUCCGAUCCUACGUCCACGGGCUUCCCCACGGCGAAGAGCAGCGGCCUCGAUAUAGGAGGGAGUCGCUGCUUCGUCGGCCCUUCUCGCCAAAGGAAACGCAGCCCAGGAAGCAACAGCCUCAUCUCCCCCCCUCCCAAGAACUCCCCUCUCUGCUCCAAGCUCCGGCCCCCAAUCUCCUGCAGAUUUCUCCCCCGCGAAUCGCCGGCGGAGCAGCGGAUCUGCGAGCAUUCUCUCGCCCCCUUCGGUCUCCUGGCGGCGCACGGGCGACCAUGGCCUAGGGUUUUGCUCUCGCCCUCUCUCGCUGAACUGCUGGGAACCCGGCGCCGCUGGGCUAGACCGUGCCGGCGGCUGAGCUAGGGCGUGUUCGGGGCAGGUCGGGCGUGGCGGCGGCUGGUCGGGGAAGCAAGUCGGGCCUGGCGGCGCGCUGACCUGGGAUAGGAGGAGGGCCACGAGUGUUUGCGGCGGCAAGACCGGCAACCGGCAGCAGGACCUCCUCUGCUUCAGUUUCGGCUUCUGGUGGUUCGUUGCUCCGAAUCCUGAGGUAUAAACCCUAACUCACUGUUGAUUCGUGGAGAAGUUGUGGAUCCGGUUGGUGGCCAGUAGAUCCGCUUGGUUUCGCCCUUCCUCGGUUUGAUUAUGUUGGUAGAUGAGUUGAAAUCCCUCCGUUAGCACUGUUACUUCUGGAGAAGAGGGACGUUUUUUUUUUGCCUUGCACCGGCAGUUUGUAGUGGGAGUAUGUGCUUCUGACUUCCAUUUUUUGUUGUAAAAUAGUAGUACUCCGUAUUUGUUUGGUUAAUUGUUCAUAUUUAUUGCAAAAACUUCUCCACAAACUAUUGAUGUGUUGCGUUUUGUUGUUGUUGCUAAACACUCAAACUGGCCAUCACCGGCUUAACCAAACAUUCAAAGUGACUCAUCCAAGUCCAUCAAAUCUUGGUCGCCUGCCCACCCGUCUGCCCAUCUUCAACCAAACUUAGUUUCAGUUUAUACUUUGUACCCCAACUAUGCUUUUACUACCAGCUAGAGGAGAUUUAACAGUCACUCGAAGAUGUCGAAUCUACCCGUAGAGAACUAUUUUAUAUAUUUUUUAAAUUCAUUCUGGUCUGCAGUUUAGGAUUUAGCUGCUGACGGAUUUGCUCUUUCAGGAUAACGAUGGAUCAGGAUAAGGAAUCAAGACCCUCAAGGUCACCCAGUGAGCCAAACUUAUUCCUGCAAUGGGGCAGCCGGAAGCGGCUUCGCUGUGUCAAGACACGCGAAGAUGGCUCGCCAUCACCAGCUCGGUCUGAUGUGCUUAGACGUACCAUACCCCGAGUAAAUCGGCCCCUUCUGGGUGGUGAUGUUGCACAAUUUCGUUCACCACGGCGCCCAAGCACUCUUCAUAGCAGGUAAUUCCCAUACGCAUAUGCCCCUUUUGUGUAGCAGUGGAAAAUGUCAAGAAAUGCCUUAGUAGGGUGUCUCAACAUGAUGUUUGUCAGCAGGAAAUCUGAGGCACAGGCGAGUGAGAACAGGCAGUCCAUGUCGCUCUCGCCAGAGAAAGACCGGUAUUACUCCACUAGGGGUUCCCCAUUUCAUUUUGAGGGGAAUGGUUUUGAUUUCAAUGGUGGAGUGGAAGAGAAGGGCACCACAGCUCUGCCAAGGUUCUUCAUCUCACUGUCCAACAAGGAGAAAGAGGAGGACUUCAUGGUAAUGAAGGGCUGCAAGCUUCCACAGAGGCCGAAGAAGAGGCCAAAGUUGAUGCAGAAGUCCUUGCUUGUAAUGCUUUCUUCCACAAAUUUAACUGCAAAGUUUUGCUCUUUUCAAAGCUGUGAAUUGUGUUCAUGCUCAUUUCUAACACUCUUGUUUUUCACCGUUGUGCAUGUCCAUAGAUGGUAUGCCCAGGAGCAUGGCUGUCAGACUUGUCACAUGAGAGGUAUGAAGUUAGAGAGAAGAAGAGUUCCAAAAAGGUAAACCUAGACUGCAAUCAUUUCUGUUUGGUUGCAAGUAACCUAACUGUUCUCUUAGUUCAAAUUUAAGUUCAUCUGUGUACAGUUGUUAACACGUGCAAAAUCAUUCAGCAGAGGGCUAGAGGACUGAAGGCUCUGUGCAUGGAGAGUGAUUCAGAGUAGAGAUUGAGGAGGGGGUCAAUUUUUUUUGACUUGUGCUGGAGGCAGAAAGACAGCGGUACUUAAGUAGCAAUGGUGGCUCUUUAACUAGACAAACCUCAGCAGCUAAUUUAGCAGGGGGGAUCAGUGCCUGCGCCCCUCCCUUAUUCACCCAUGUUGUAUGUCCAUUAUCCCACCCCCUUUUUUUUGUCGAGACUCGAAAGAAAUUGUCACCUGGAACUAUUGCACAAUGACCAAAUCAGUAAUCUUAGAUUCUGCCUGAUCUAGUGAUCCUGCUCUAGUUUCGAAAAACGACCUAGGUUUGUGGGUUGGUUAUGACUGAUAUUGCUGUGGUCACUUGGAUGGAGGUUUUGUGGGCACCUGGUUGUUCAUGCAUGAUCUUUCCACCUCUGUAGCCGGUGGUUGGUCGGUAUACUGCUUAGACUACCCUUGUCUUGGGCUUUCAGAGUGGUUCGAUGCCUCGGUAGUUUUUGUUUGGUGGCUCCGUUGGUUGGUGCUUAUCUGGGACAUAACCAAUGGAUGCCAUCACCUCCAUUUCGCAAGUUUAACCUACCUCGUGAGGAAGAAGGAAAGAACUCUUCAUUCUUUUAACAGCAAAGAAGGAAAAGACUCUUUGUCGAGCCUUUUUGCAGGCCUGUGGAAAAAACUCUUGAAAUCUGAAAUCUGCGGGGUUCCUAGACUCCCGACCUGUGCUAGAGCCCAUGGACCUGUUCCUAAAGACCGCCGACGCUUCCGGCCUCGAAGAUAAUGCCAGCCCAGUAGAUGAGAACAUCUCGGUUCUCGACGAGGACGGGCUCAGCAGCUAGUCAGUCAGUCAACCCAUGUCCAAUGACUCCACUAUCCAGUUUCUUCGCUCAAAAAAAAAGAAAAAUCCAGUGUUUUCCUUCUUUUUUUCGGACGGAGGCAGCCCUAAAUCGCCCGAUGAUCAUGGACAUGCCGCCCGUACGUACUCUGGAGUAUGGUAAGUACACGCACUGUACAAUCGGUAAGGACAUACGGAUCGAACCGGUCGCCACGGACCGUGAGACAGCUCGUCAACGGCUCAGCGCUGCUGCUCUUGCAAGAAACAAUACGGCAGAGGAAGCAAUGCAAGCUUGACUGGCCCGGCCCCGGACCCUGGGAUCCGUCCAUGGCUGAACCUGGCAUGACAUGGAUGAUGGAUCUUUGCUUGCUCCCCAGCCAGAUAGCCAGGCCAAAUCUUCCAUCUUCAAUGGCACCGAUAUGAUCAAUGGAUAUACGAAGCACAUACAUAUCUUCUUUUUAAUAUUCUGGAGUACCGACUGUACAUCCUUUUCCACCUUCAUGUUAAACAAAACUAUACCUGACACAUUCAAACUGCCCAUGAAGGAAUAAUCAAAGAGGACAGAUGUCUUGAUGCUCUGAUGGCUGUCCAGUACCCAGUACCAGCACAGUUAUCAGUUGUUUGUUGGCAUUGAGCAUUUACCAUUUGUCGGUUCAUGGCACACAGGCUGCUGAACUAACGGGCAAAGUUUAAAAGCACGCAAGGCUUCCACAGCACCACAACACGACCAGUUCAAGGUUCACCGGUAAUUAUACUGAAUCUCUCCCGGACGCAUUGCUCCUUUCGAUGCGCCAUAGUGGCAUCCAAAGGAGAGAAAGUCGUCAAGAGAAAUAAUAAAAGCAAGGCACUAAGGCCCCCUUUGGUUAAGCCCAAGAGAGAGCAUACUCCAUGACCAGAAACAAGAGCCAAGUGAAUCAACCAUAUAGGUGAAAGGAGGAAGAGGGUGGUAGGCCACAGCCACAGGCGCACCAACAACAUGCCCAUGCUUCUCUUCAGAAGACUGGCACAGAAAGAGGGAGGGGAAAAAAAGCUCGAGAGAAAAACUAGGAAAGCAACACUGGGACCCCAUUCACAUGACACACGCUAAUCUAGGGCUAAGAAAAACUUGUGCAGAUGGUGUAUUACACUUGAAUGGAUCACUCAGUCAGGGUGUCUUCUGGUCACUGGCAGCUUGCGCUCCUGCCGGGGCCUCCAUAGUAGAAGUAUGAUCCCCAGUCGCCAUUGUUGCCGUUCUGCACGUCGUAGCAGUUCGACUGCUCGGUGAAUGUGCCCACCCCCUUGGGGGCCUUGAGGUUGUUGGUGUUGUCCACCACUUGUAUGUUUUUGAAGUAGCUCGACUUGCUGAACCCUUCCUCUGGGAAGUGCCCGCUACCCAUCUGUGUCGACGUGUGCACGCCGCCGGGCUGCGAGUUCACCACCUCCCCGCCCCACUCGAUCAUCGACGCACUGUCCGCGAGGUAGGAGAAGAGGAAGGACGGCCAGUAGCCGAGGACGUACUCCUUGCCAAACUGCAUCCACCAGUGCCCCUCUUUCGGGUCCUGCUCAACAUAACAUAAGCCUCAGAAAUCGUUUAGAUGACAUGCGGCAUUACAGUACCAGGCGUGUCAAUGCUACGCAAUCAUUAGCACCGACAUACCACAAACUAGACUUUGAGUAAAGGGGAACAAGGGUAGCCAGUUUAGCACCGAGAUGCCGACAUUCAUGUUGCACUAAGCACUUAAGCAGGCCUAUGUAUGCACUCAUCACCCGUGCUCAAUAGAAAUGAAAAACCACUUGACUUUCUAUCUCAAACUCUUGCUUGUUGAGGUAAAAAGGUAGCAAUGCUUCAUGAGACUUCUUUUGACAAACACAAGCUAGAGUAAUCAUCAAGGCUAAAAAAGGUUGUUGACAAAAGAUGUAUUAUAACCACAGGGUUAUGUGGGGGUACUAAAAUAAUUCCCCAGAGUUCAGUCAAGGUUUCAAGGAGCAAGAGUAAAGAAGAGCACAGGAGCAAGUUGGCAGAGACUCUCUGGCCUGCAUGUUUGUGUCAAAUUUCUCUGACCGUAAAAUAGGGCCUGGCAUGUGUCAUGUGUAGUGACUUGUAUCUACAUAGUCCUAGAUUACCUUCCAGAUGAGUAUGCUGAUGUCAUAUUGGGAUCCGGAGUAGCCUGAGAUGGGGAAGAUGCUGGCUCCCAUGGCGACCUCACUGUUGAUCUGAACGAACCCUGCACAUAGUAUGUUGUAGCACCCUGUUGCCUGGUACGCGUCGCUCUACACAAUGCAAAAGAAUUGCAUUUAGUGAACAUCAACACGUCAUAAACAAGCACAUCCCACCAAAUUGCAGGGGUUGAUUUUGCUUACUGUCCAGUAGGUGAACAGCCUUGUGUGGUUGUCCCCGUAGAGGUCCGGACUAACCUGACGAAUCAAAGAAGCAAAAAAGAAGUUCAGAGCUCGUGACACCAACCACAACACAGGAAGAGAGCUAUGCUUCUAUCAACCGCGAAAACGGUGCUGCAUUUACUCUCUACAUGAGCGAUGGAACUGGAGGCAAAGCUCAUGAAGCAGUUGUCUGUGUCUGGUUUACCUGCCAGCCAGCCUCGAUGCUGUUGAGGUCUUCGCCGAAUGUGCCACCCAAGAUCCACAGCUGGGACAGACUGAACUCGUUGGGCUGCUCUAUCUUGGGCUCCCACACGUUGAUCGUCGCCUUGGCGCCAUAGUACUUCUCGCCUUGCACGUACGAUAUCGCGUGCUGAAAACACAAAUUCCACGGCCGGUGAUUAUGGAUUAUACGGCAGGCAGGCUCAAUCAGGAACUCUGAAGAUAGCUAGAUGAGUACAAAUACAAUGUGGGAGGACGUACUUGAUGGCCACCCUCGUUGAGCAUGGAAAGAUCGACAGACAUGGGGUUCGCCACCGUGUGCCGCUUCCUGCCGUACCGCCGGAUCGAGCUCGCCCGGAGCAGGUCGUCCUUCUUGGUCCUCCGGACCGGCACGGUGCCUUCCGGGCACCUGCCCUUCUGGUGCCACAGCUGAACCAUAGGCCUCUCGCCGUCGCCGGAGGAGGCCACAUUGGCCUUGGAUUCGUCGAACAGGCCUUCCGGGUGGUAGUUCGGCCUCAUCUGGAGCAAGCCAAAAUGCUUUAGGAAUAAACCAUAAUCGAAACCAUGGCUUGUACUGACGCAGUUGGAGUCAAAUUUACCUGGAUAGUGUGGUUCUUGAGGAAAGGGUGGUCGAAAGCCGGCUGGUGUGAGAUGUGCACGCAGUCUAUGAUGUCCCCAUCAGGGCUCUGCUCCAUCGAUUCAGAAAACCAAAAUUAGCUGUGUUUGAGCAAGGAUUGGGAGAGAACAGUAUUGCAAAAAGACAGUAGUUUGGCAUCCACUGAAGACUAAGAAUUAGCACAAAAGUUAUGCAAUAAAGAAAUUCGUGCAAGAACAAACACAAAGUGCCACCAGGAGGGGGGAGUGGGGUAUCUUUCCUGUAAAAUUUACACUGGUAUGCUUAAUGUGGCCAAAAGAAAGAUGAGGACUUUUGCACGAAAUGGUAUAAAGACUAAAGAGAAAGAGCGAAUCUCCCCCCAAGAACAAACCACACAAAAAGCCCCGGAGAAAGGCCAUCCUUUUGAAUUAGAUUAGAACUUUAAGAGAUUAGCCAAGAAACUGCAGCUGCCAUCUCGCUCAAAUCCCUCCCAAAUGCAGCUCCUUACAAACGCUAGCUUCGACUGGGAAGGGAAGGAAUCCCCAUCGAGAAAAGCCAUUCAAAUCUUGAGAAGAAGAGCGACAGCAAGAAGACAAUCUCGAAGGGACCUACGCACCUCGAUGCUCUUGACCGCGGGCUUGUUGAGGCGCUUGAGGUGCCGGUGCAUCCUGGCUUCGGGCGACCUCGCCGCGGCGGCGCACGAGAGGCACAUCACUGCCGCCGCGGCCGCCGCCACCAUCAGGCGCGCGACGACACGCACACGCGCGGUGGCCAUGGGCGGCGCUCCGCUCCUCCGCCGCCUCCCCUGCCCCCUCUCGCUCCCGGCUCCGGCUAAAACUCUGAAGACAGAAAAUCCCUUCUCUCUCUACCAAAGACGACCCACGCCGCCGGGGACCGCCGCCGCCGCAAGGCCGGCUCCGAGGGCCUGCCUGCGAAUUUCGAAACAAUGCGGGGGGUGGGGAUGGGAUGGGAUCAGCAGUGGCACGCUCUCUCGCCGCUUCUUGGGCGCCUCGCCGUCUCGGGUUGGGAGGGAUGGGGAGCGGCCGCUAGCGCCUAGUGGUAGUAGUGGGCAGUGUAGGGAGACCCGGCUGUACUAGUUGGUGGCAAGAGAGAGGGCUAGAGGAGCACUCUCGCUCGCACGCUGCAACUUUUGCCGUUUUCCGAGCUUUAACUUCCCUGUAUUCCUGGACCGAAAUGCCCCUUCCUGGUUCGAAAAUUACUUGGGGGCACCCGGAGUACAACAUGGCGGUCUCGGUGAGACUAGGGCUACUCUGAUUCAAAUAAAUAUUCACUCCGUCUCGAAAUAAUUGACUUGAAUUAUUUUGAAUUCUUAUACAAAUUCACGUCAUUUAUUUUAGGACGAAGAAAGUACAUAAGAAUUUUGAAGGAUUUAAAUUCUAAAGACCAUUUUCUUUGCUGGUCGUUUCAUGCACAGUGCUAGAAUCGUUGAGAAUUUUUUUAUGGAUCUUUUGCACUCUAUUUUUGAAGGAAAUCUCCAUUCAAACUUCUAUGUUAGAAUUCAUUUGUUUUUUUGUUCUUAUCCUAAAAGAAGGAAAUUCAUUUGUUUUUUUGUGGUGUGUUAAACAUUCCUUGGAUACUAAUUCUGUACUUUUCAAUCUUAUAGGAUUAUCUUCGAAUGAUUCUUAAGAAAAAUAUGCAACAUUGAUGCUCCCUCCAUUCCAAAAUAUACAUUUCAUAAGUUGACUGUCAGAUUUUCAAAAGUUUAACCAAGCUUAUAGCAAAAAAUAUUCAGUGUCAAACCAAGAUAGUAUGCAAAUAUAUUUCACAAUUGAUAUUAUGAUCUUGAUCCAACACUGCAUGUGUUGGUAUUUUUGUUAUAAGACUGACCAAAUUUAAGACAAUCAACAAAAGUUGUACGUCUUAUUUUUAUAAUGGAGAGAGCAGAUGCUAAGAUUGGCUUAUUCUAAAAGCUAGUCACUCCUUGUAGGAUUAUAAGACUUUGUUCUGAAAAUCUUCUUACAAAGACAAGAAUAAAUAAAUAAAUGAUACAACCUAACACAUGUAUAGUAAGAAAUUUUAAGCUAAGCCAACGUGAUUACUUGUACUGUCUGAUCAUCUUGUGACUUGACAAUAGUUCACUGAGAUGAUACCAAAAAUCAUGAUCAACCAGCACCGGGAGAAAAAUAGCUUUGACAUCCGUACGGCUUACAGGGUUUGGUGGCGCGCAGUCAAAUUAAUCCUUCCCUACCAACACCCGGCGAAACGAACUCGGGGUUAUAAAACCCGAACAUGCUCUUUGUUUCUCGGACGGGUGCCGUCGUCGUCCUCCGUUCACGCCUUGGACGUGCGUUACGUGCAUACAGGCCCGGGCCAACCCAAACGGCUUUAUCCCGUUCUCCCCGGGAGCCCGAAGCGUGCGUGUGCUUGCAUGGCCCCGUUGGUAAUUUCGCUCCAGUCCAGUCCACCGGCUGGCUGUGGGCCAGCAGUCAGCAGUCAGCAGGCCCCACCCACAGUGGGGAAUCGGCCGCGCCACCUACCUCGGGUCCCCGUUUGCGUUUCCCCACGGGUCGCUGGAGAGUGGGGGCCGGAACACGUCGGACCCACAUGGCGUUGGUGGCUUCCGGCGCGUGCGGCCGCGGCCCAUGUCCGGCACAGUGCGUUCGCAUCGGAUCCGGACGCAACGCACCGUCAAAACUGAGACGACCGGGUCUCGGACUCUCGUUGGUGAGGGGAAGAGAAGAGUGAUUAAGUAGCGCUGGUGCUUUCACUUUUACUUGCUUGCACGGGAGCUGCAAGAAAAGAAGAAGACCUACGGACAAAGUACAGGCCAUGGCUAAUUUUAUGCAUGUUUGCAGUAGUACGAGCACCGUCGUACUAAUAAUAAUUCUUUAACGACUAAUCAUGGCAUCUAGGCAUGCAUGCAGGCAAGCACACGGCGGCCGCUGCAAAACUGCGUGGCAUGUUUUCGAACCAAUAGGAUCGUACGAGUUGCCUACCGACUACCAAGAAACUAGUACUAACAAACCCAUACACCUGCAAUUUUAAUCUUGUGGCCGACGCCUGCAAGAAUCGGCGCCAAAUGGUCAAAGUUCGUGCAGAGAACAAAAUGUUGCCCCUACACUGGCAGCACAAAAGCCUCUACGAAUAUUUAACUGCGCUUUGUUCCAGACACUUGUUUGGGAUGUUUCGCACUUUGGUACUAGCACCAGUAUCACUCCCAGACAGUGCAAAUCAGAGGCCAGUCAGCAGCAGCAACGACAAUAAUAAGUAUUCCUCCUGGUAAAACCUGGUACCACUGCUAUACUAAUUAAAACGUAAACAACCCCUGGUAAACCCCUGCGACCGAUAAUUAUAGUGCCUAUGCAUGCACAGCUGCCGGGUUUGGUUUGGUUCGCGCGAUGCUGAAGCAGCAGCUAGCAGCGUCAACACAUCGUCAAAGCAGCCCUGACCAUGCAGUACCGCAGUGCGAGUAGUAAAAUGCUACGAUUGCCCGGAUCUUACAGUCUCGGUAAGAGGGUGAAAAUAACGUGCUAAAUAGAAGGCUACAAAAUUAAUCCAGGAACAGUACGUGUGGUCCUUGCCUGACCGAUGGGCCCACAUGGCAGGAAGAGUAUUGGGUCAGGUCAAGGCCGGAUGUAUCAGGCUCACAAGACCGGUUGUACCCUCAGUGAUGGAAUGGUGCAGGCGUGCAUCACCAGAAGCGGUGAAAAAGUUUUCACUCUAUCGCUGGGCUGCAUUUAAGGUUCUUCAUUUUCUUUUUCACUCUUCUGAGGUAAUGUCUUGAUAUUUGAUAAGCUGAACACUCUAUCUAGCUAGUAUGACCACUUAAUUAAUAAGCCGGAUGCAUUAUUUCGGUACACUAGCACUAGCAUGUGCUUGAUGUACAAGCUGAAGCUUAAGUAAAACGGAAGCAUAUGGCAAGCAGAAGGAAUCCAUCCUGACGAGGCAGAAAGCCAUCCGUUUUGCUUUAGCUCCUGGCGCUUUUCAUGCACAAACACUUGAAAGACACCUUUCUUUCCUAUACUUACUUUCAUGCCUCUAUUAUUUAGUUAGCACUUCUCAACAAGAAAAAAGUGGUCACCAAAAGCUAGCGGUACUCUACGCAAAUGGUCACUUCCCAGCCGUAUAAGAGCCGAAUCAUUGCACUACCUCACUCACUUUAGUAUGCAGCUUGUGUGGCGCAAAAUUGGAACAAAGUUCAACACAAGCUCUAAGAUGGGGUGAUUUGUAUAUCCAUGCAUGGACAUAAAAUUUGUCAGGUCAUGGCAUGGAGACAGGAAGCUAGUAUGUAUUACACGUCAGCUUAAUUAGCCUGUGACGUGCUGACAUGCCUGGGAAUGGCGAUCAGGCGAUGGGCAUUGGGACCCAAGGUAGAGAACAGAAGAGGGGUCAUUGGCACAAUUCAAAGCCGUUCUUGGUCACAUGGUGUGCUCCUUUAGCGAGCAAAGCUGGCAGGCUUUGUCCAGUUGCGCUAGCUGAAGCCGCUAAACAGUAAACAUACAGUGCAACCCUUUCUCAGUCUUGCUAUCACCAUUAAAUUUAUGGUCAGGAUCUCAAACUCCCUGCAGCACACCCAAUUAAUUAGGGCAGAGUGCAUGGAUGGAUGGAUGCAUAUAUGCUUGGCCGUAAGGACUCUAUAAUUAAACUAGUGGUACAGGAAUAUAAUCUGGCAAAGAAAGAUGGCCAUAUGCACUUUGGGCUCUUGAUGGUGUGCUAACCAGCUAAAGUUUGCCUGUACUGACAGAGAUGUGUCGUCCCAUGCAGAUCACUGUCGACUCGCAAGCCUUGUAGAGUCGGCCUCGUUGAAUUAACUCUGAUCAUUCUCAAUUCAUCAUUCUCGCCACCGGCCAACCUUGAAAAAUCAGACCACCUGUAUCAACAACAUGCAUUGGUGCACGGUCUACUGUAAACCCUACAGCUACGGUUUAGAUAAGUAUGCAUCUUCCCCUGAGCGUGAGAGCGUCCACAUCCAGGGGAUUGCAUGGCCUAGCCAAGGAGCCACUAGAGAAACCACCAUACAAGCGGCCCGUGAGCUAUAUAUACAGGCUCAUUUAUCUGACAGAUUUCUUGUGUGUGCGUUUGAGAUGCCAAAUGAGAUCGAUGUCUCACCAAAAUGAGACUAGACCUUGCCUUAGCAUGUACAGUACAAGACACAUGAAUAAUUUGGUGGUACGUGUUGGGCAAAUGGACAUGGGUACGUGAUGGGUCCGGUCAAUCACAAAGUGUCGCAUGCAUAUGUAUGUUCACCAGAAAAUUUUACCUGGAUUUUGUCCUCCCCUGUGCCUCCUAUGAGUACAACGUUUACUGAAGAAUAUAUACCAGGCUAUUAGCUAUAUGCUCUACUUUCUACUCGAACACGGUGAGAUUCUAGACCUUAGCUAGGCCCUCUUCUCAUCUCAGUAUUCUCCAGGCUUAGAAUACAGGGCUCAAAGAGAUGUACUACUUAACCACAUUUAGGAUGAAUCAUAAAUUGUAAAAGAUCAAAGGACAGAAAGACAGAGGCUACAUUUGACAGAUACUCCUAUAUCGCUUGCCCGUGAAGCGAUUACGAAUUGCCUAGGAGGCUACGAGCCCAGCCCUUUUACAAGUGCUCCUCCUCCUCUUACGUUCCAGAUGAGAGAUUAAUGGCUAUUGCCGCAAGAUAUAUAGGAAGUGCCCAAGGCCUAGCACACACGCGCAAUAAUGGAGGACCCAUGGCUAAAAAGCUGGAUCAGUGUUAGUACCAUGGUACUAGAUAGCUGCUUUUUUAUGGUAACCGGAGGCCCAUGGGACCCUUAUGUGCUCACGGUCCAUGAGGCCAGUCCUCGCAUGUGCCGAGGUCACAAUUCCACAUACUCAAUGAGGGACUCUUCAUCUAAUCCAUUUGAUCAAUGAUAGUAAUAUCGAAAGCUACAGUUUAACUGUAGCGAAUUGUUUGUUUGGCCAGAUUGACCUGUCGUCGAUUUAAAAUCUAGAUGUGGUUAUGGAUAUAAUGCAUAGAUGGAAAGGCAAUCUUCAGCUACCUUCCUGUUGGAUACUCUUUUUAAGAUAAUGGUAGAUGUACACGCAUUGACGUGAAAACGUACCAACAGAUACAGAAGAAUUUUAUAGACCUACGGUCAUACACCCUGUAUAGAGAUGUGGAAAAUAUGUGCUGGAGUACAUUCAGUCUGGCGUACCUUAAUGAAUCUGAAAGAAGUCUGGAGUAUAUUCAGUCUCUCGACUUUUCAAGGCUGGAAGCCAAGAGAAAGCUGGGACUUCCAAUGACAAUAGAGCUGACAAGAGGAAAGGAGACAGUAAAAUUUAGGUGUCCAUGGUAACCAGAGCAGAAGCACAGAAAACACAUGCAAUGGCUCAGCAUAAAAUCCCCAUACCCCCUAUCCCGUACUUAUCCUCUGACCAGGGAUAUUAAAAAAUUUAUUAACAACGAAACAGAUCAUUAACGCAUAUACAUAAUUGGACGACCACAUAUGAUGCCAAAAGACAGAAAGCAUAAUCAUUACAUAAUUAGUGCUUCUGACCAAAACCCACUGCUCUGAUUACCUGAAAGAAGCAUGACAAAAGUGCUAUGCUCUCAGAUAUUCUCCUCGCCUUCACAUCCUGAAGAAAAAAAGGUUCCAGAGUUGUACAAGCAUAUCGCCGGUUUCUUACCAACACAGAUAGAGACGGGAUUACAAAAAGCAUCCCACGGAGAUUGAUUUUGCUCAGGACUCAGGAGUCGACAUGGCAGAGUGCAAAGCUGUAAUCCAUCCUAUACACCGUGGUAGACUUUACAAUUUCCUUGUACUAUGCAGGGGCAUCCUAUACACCGUUGUACUUACAAAGAAGAAUGAAGUGCCGUCCCUUAUGAACUAGCAUAGUAUGACCUUAUUAUUUCCACAAAUGAAGGCAAACAUCUUCAAUUCACUUUCAAGUACACAGGUGACAUUUCAUCAACACCACUCCGUGACGAGUUCCAUUUAUAUCAUAUAUGUAACAUUAUAUACUUACAAUAUGAAUCAAAUUUUCAUCUCCCAGAUAUCCGUUUUCCAGAGCUCCCAACCCACUAACUUAUUUACAAUGAAGAUCUCGGCAAUGUUAGGUCCUGAAGACUAAGAGAUAGAAGGGCAAAUGGUUUUGACAUUUUGUGUGAGGUAUCACAACCUCACAGGCAAGUGUUCAAUCUCUGAAAUUGAAGACCCAAGCUCUCUCUCUUUCAGAGCCUUAUUCCUAAGCAACCUGAAACAGACACAAGUUAGAGAUGGAUGGAGUAACCUAGAAGUAAGAUUCUCCAAUCAUAAGUUCUUAUCCUAAGAAAUGCAAUGCACUUUUUACUAUCAAGCAUACAUGCCCCAUCGCCAUGGUAAAGAAGGAAAAGAAUCAGAAAGUCAGCAGAAGAGGAUCUAUUCUACUGACAGAAAUUUUAACUCUGCUAAUAACUUUUCAUAUUUUUCUGUCACAAAGUGUUGUUUUCGUAGAUUAAUUUCACUAAAAAGGAUGGUAGCCUAUUCAGUCAGUGUACACAUUAACUUUAAAGAUGACCAUAGCAAAAGAAAUUAUAAAGAUGAACAAGUACUCCCAUAAAAUAUCCUCUUGACACGUAAGUAACUUAUACAGUCAACAAAUCUAGGGUCAACACAUAGAAGUCUUUAUGUGUCACCACUAUCUAUUUUUUAGAAGUUAGAAAACCACUCACGUUAUUACAGUUAGAUGAUAUCAUCUGGUUAAUAUGGUAAACCCAUCGGAAACAUGCUUCUUCUCUAAGACUAAGGCCUUGUUUUUGGGAAUUAGAGCACAAAAGGUCGUUGAGGGAAAUGAAUCUAAAGUUUCAGCACACUGACCACGCAAGACACAACAUAUCAUCAUCAAUGAAGGUUGAAGCGACAAUCAGUUAUCAAUAUGUGCACAAUAGUUUGAGAACUAUUGUCCUUCUCAUCAUCAUGUUCCUCAGUGUUGUCAAAAGUUCAUUCCUCCAUCUAUCAUGGUCAGUAAUUUGCUCUGUCAGAACAUAGACAUCAAAAACCCAACCAGCAUGCUAAAUAUCAUUAUAAAACUGGUCUUCAACGCCCCUGGUGUUAAUUUUCUGUUUAUAUCAGGAAUUCACGACAUCAAAAGGAUCUAAACAUAAGAGCAUGAUAUGGACUGCCAUCCAAGGAUGCAACAAUAGCUCUAAUGAGAACAUAGCAAGUAUAGUAUGAACAGUGCAUAGUAUGUGUUGUAUGCCUGAGUUCUCUCUAUAUUUAACAAUUUUAUCGGCAAGCUUAAGAUUUUGGAAAAGUCAACAUGCCACGUUACAAUUAAGAGUAACUUCAGAGUCACCUUGUCCCCUCAAACUACAAGGUUUGCCAGAAACCUACUCUCAAAUACAACCCCAAACGGGCAACUAAACCACUAGGUCCUUUAAUGAUGUCCAUGGAAUCUUUUUUAUCAUACAAAUUAACUAGAAGAGGUGUGCAACUCAGUUACACCCACACUUAACUCUAAAUAUAGUGAAGAUCUAUAUAGAGAGAACAUCGAAUGUGCACAAUAAUGACAACAUUAGCACAAGCCUUAAGAUCAUCUUCCCAUAUCUUUUUAAAGUGGCCACCAGGAAAAUAGAACUGUUGAGAAGGAGCUCCACCAGAACAAUUGGAUUCGUGCACACCAGUGUCACUCUGGGAAAUGGUGCAAUGACUUUGUUUUGGCACGAUAGCCAGCACUGUAGCACAGGCCUUAAGACAGUCUUCCCAAAUCUUUUCAAAGCGGACACCAGGAAAAAUAGAACUGUUCAGAAGGAGCUCACACGUUGGUAUCUCCACAGGAUAAAUUGAAUUAGCCACCCUCACAGAGAUCAUCAACGGUAAUUCAGCCGCAGCCUCAAUCUCCUGAUGACAUCUUCUCAAGGUGGACAGAAAAUGGGAGUACAAGGCGUGUUUGCUUGCCUACCAGGCACAGUUUACCGGCUCCAAGAUUUGGAGGGUUCAUGCAGAGACAAAAUGUCGGUUCUUUCCUUGGUCCAUGCUCCACAAACCUUACGGCAGAUAACCUUGCAGCAAGAGGACGGGGUAUGGCCUCCAUGUGCUUUGCAAUUAGGUGCCAGAGAGUGCUGAGUGUUGACUACCAAUGCAGAAAUUGCCAUUAUACAAAGAUUUGGGAGAUGGUUCGGCUCUGGAAUGGCAAUUUUCCAUCCAGAAUUCACGCUGCUUCAUCGGUUGAUGAAUGGUGAAACGCUGAUAGGUGACAAUUAGUAGUGACAGGAAGCCUUGCUGAACGGCAGAGCUCCUCCCAUUUUCCUCACAGGUCAAGUAAGCGUGAAUGUAACAUAUGAUGCUCUAUAUGAUCCAGACAUAUUAACGGUUAGCAUAACCUAAAUCAUAGCGGCUUAUAAUCUAUACUGCCGAUUGCCAACUGUGCUUGAACAGUGAUUCCUAUAACCUUAGGACAAUCAUUUUGAUGUGGUUCAAUUCAAGUGGACGGCCUUAUGAAAACCCAUCAGGUUUGGGUAUUCAGACAGCUGAACCUGAAUUUGUGCCAGCUGUAGGAGAGCUAGUGCUACGGAUUAACCAGAGUUCAGACGUGCACAAACCCAUUCCACGCAGUAGGAUCACAAAGCUAAAUUACUAUACUAGUACUAUGUGAUUUAAGCAGUCGGAGACGAAACGGAAAUGGCUGAGUGAGCAAGCGGCAUACCUCAAUCGUCGUGAGGAUUGAUAUGAUCCCCAUCCUCGAUGUCAACAUAGUCGUCGUUGUCGUCGUCAUCCUCAUCUGAAGACGAUGAUGAUGAGGAAGAGGAGGAGAAGGAGGAACGGGAGUGCCGAGCUAGCAUGAGGUCCGGGGGCGGGAGCAGGAGGAGGCGCUGGCGGCGGCGAGGGUUGGCGAAGCGGAGAGGGGAGGCGUGGGCGGGGAUGAAGGGGACGCAGAGGAAGGCGGCGAGGCGGGCGAGGAGGUGGAGCGGCCCGCAGCAGAGGAGCGCGAGGACGCGGUCGGGCGGGAGCGUCUCCGGGUUGCACGCCACACGCUGCCACCCCUCCGCCGACGCCCGCGCCACCGCCACCACCCACCCCGCCCGCACCGUCAUUCCUCAGCCGCUUUUUAACCGGCGCCGAUGACGAAUCCCCCACACCCACCCACUCCAAUCCCCAACGCGCCGGAAUGGCGUGCGGCGCACGGUGGGGAGGAGGUAGCGAUUCGAGGCGCGCACGGCACGACCGCCCGCGCGCGUGCGUGGGGGGUUCUCUGCCUCGCUCCGCCCUGCCGCCGUGUGGAUCUCGCCGGCCGGCUCGGAUUUGCCGCUGCUUCUGCCGCCGGGGCAGCGUUUUGGGUUGUUCAAUCGAUUACGGUUGCUGGCGGGGCUGGGGAAUCUGUUGGGCUUUUAUAGCUAAGCUUUAUCUACUCAGAUGCGUACGUGGACUGUAGUGGCUGACUCGACGUGGAGCCCACUCGUCAGUGAUAAAUUUGCUGUUGCGCCUAAAGUUUCUCAGCGAGACACCUUUGAGAUAUUUGAAAAAAACAAGUCAUACAGCAUAGUUUGCAGCAGAAAAAGUAGCGCAGACGAGUCGGACCAACGCUUGAACACAACGCAACUACCUAGCAGUAGCAUGUAAACAUGUAUAAUGAUGGAUAACAUGGCAGAAACAAGGAAUACAGCUGGUUGCCUGGUUAAAGCACAAGUGUUUUGGGCCUCAUAACAAUGUCAGGAUCAUGGAAUAGAAAGGUUGCUACCGAAAGGUAAAGAAAAUAGCAUGGAAAAGCCAGAACGCCUACAGGUGAGGGCCAAUCCUGAAUAUUGAACAUUGAAAAACAGAGCUUUCGGUAUGGAACAGGAACUGUAUCAUCCACAGCAUUUUAUUUCAUGCAUUGUGAUGUGACGAUUAAUGUAAAAAAAAUAGCGACCUCUGUCGAGCACAAAAAAAAAAGGCUUCAUGGAAGAGUUCUCUCGUAAAGGGGGAGGGCUCCCAGUGCUUCACGCUCCGCUGCCUCCUUUUUCACCUGCAACAGAAGUCAAAUUAAACAUGAUGAAAAUAUCAAAAGUAGCAUCACAGCAUAAAAUCAGACAACCAAUUUGAGGCAGGAAUUUGUUCGGUAGUGGCAUCAGACUUGGAAGGAAAUACUUCUAUUUAUUAGUGAUUACUAAGGCAUAUACAAUUACCGAGGGAGUAAGAAGAAUACUAGACUAGACAGUCACAUCUUACAUAGUCUAAGAAUUUGCACAGUGGCUCAUCUUGUACUAAUUUCAUGAAACAGUAGCAAUAAUAGUAAUGAACUAAUGACCGCUGCUCAACCGGCAAAUAACCAAGAACGGCAAGUGGCGAGAUCAAUGACAAUGUUCAUGCUGUCAUGAAUCCUUAAGAUCAUGGUCAAAGUAAAGGAUGUACAUCUACACAGGACAACUUUCGGGUAGCAUAGCUUCAAGAGAAACUUGAUCAAACUGUUUUACAUGAACUUAUAGGGUGUUUGCUUUGAGCAAUCACCUCAUUAUAUCAUUAGUGGAAUGACCCCAUGUCCCCACCCUUUAGUUUGUACUCCCUCCGUCCCAUAUUAAGUGCCGAAAUAUUACAUGCAUCUAGACGUAUUUUAGUAUAUAGAUACAUCCAAAUUUAGAAAAAAUUGAGUCACUUCAUCAAAAGAAACACCCCACUUGAGGCAGAACCUCUAUAUUGUAUGUUUGUCCUGUACAUAUGAUAUCAUAACCAAGAUAGAAGUGCAUUGGGAUUUCAAAUUAGCAUAAUGUAGAAAUGUAAAGUGUGACUGUUUAUGCAAAUAACAAGUGAAAUGACAAAAGGGCGAGCAUCAGCAGAUGGUCAGGUACACUUACCAGAGCUAGCAUGUCAGUCAAAUAGCUUCUGAAUGGUGUCUGCAGUGCCUGUACAAAGAAAGUAAAUGUUUCAGAAGCCUGUGCUUAUCAGAGAAAGAGGUUUCAACGAAUAUUAGUUUGUAAAACAUGUUUCUUAUACAUUGACAUUUCAUAGGUUUAAUGUAUUAAUGGCUUCAGAAAAAAAGGAACUCUGGAACAUCUACAGGACCGACAGAGAAAGAAGGCCAAGCAUUCAUCUAAUCUAAAAUAAGAGCAAAGCUAUCCAGGAAAGCAAGGAUAAAAAUGCAGUACAUCGCAAAAAUGCAGCACAUGGACAUCCAGAAAAAAGAACUCCUAACAGGCUAACACAGAUGCAAACCACAAGUGGAAAAUGACAAGAAACGACAAAUAGGAUCGUCAACAAGAAUGCCUGCAACAAUCUGACCCACCAGCAUGAGGGAAUAUCCUGUAAGAAGCCUACACAGGGAUAUUUCAAAAGGCUUAUCAAACCUAGUCAACCAUAUUUUCGUUAGACAUCUUAGAAGUUCUACCAAUCCUAACAAUCACUAUUCUCAUUCAAAUGUGAAUUGCCAAUUUGCCGGAAACCACUUCUCUCAUCCAACGUUGUUCAAAUCUCCAGCAUAGGUAGAUGGGUUUCUUAGGCAGCCAACAACAUUAAAAUGUACUCCCUCUGUCCCGUAAUUCUUGUCGAAAUAUUACAUGUAUCUAGACAUUUUUUAGGAAUAGAUACAUCCAUAUUUGAGCAAAUUUGAGACAAGAAUUAUGGGACGAGGGAGUAAUAUAUAUACGCUGAAAGGGUGCUCGCCCUUUUUGUUCCACAUUCAUUUCACUCGACUAGCAAUCAUCAACGAUAUAACAGAGACACGGUGCAUCUACUGCAGGGGCUCUCAAAAACACAACCUACACGGAUAGAACUGUAGAACUACGAUAAAAAUAGAAAUAGAAGGGUAGAACUCGUCAUACAAAUCCAUACACCAUCAGCACGAGAACCGCGACCCCCCAUUACACAGAUCGCACGCGCACGGAUCGAGAGAUGCAUCACAGAUCAGGGCAGGACCGGACCUGGAGGUCGUCGGGGAGGUACUGGUGCUUCAUGGAGAGGUCCAUGGCGCGCUUGAGGCGCUGGUGGCGGGCGUCGACAACCUCCCUGGGCAGCCUCCCGAGCGCCUCCUUGAUGUCCAGCUCAAAGUACGGGUCGUACAGAUCGUCGUACCGCAGCCCUUGAAAAUCAUCAUCAUCACACAAACCACAGGCAUAUCAUCUGUCAUUCCGCACAAAUACCGGCCCAGAUCGGCAAUAACACGAACGGAAAAUCGGAUCCGAGGGGAGGGGAGGGUUGGGGUCACCUACCGAAUUUCGUGAGGCGGGAGGCGACGGUGUACUUGUGGAGGCGCGCGAGCGGGUUGCGGCGCGGGUUCACGAACCACUGCGAGAACGCGGACAGCAUCGACGACAUCGUGGGCGGCGGCGGCGGCGUCGAUGGGCGAUCCCGGUCGUCUUCUUCUCUUUGCCUUUUGAUUCGUGUUUGUGUGCGAGAAGAAGAGGGGGCGGAGGUUGUUGUUUCCGUCUUGGGCCGGCGAUGGAGAGGGGCGCUUCAGAAAUAGAAAUGGGCUGAGAAGAAAGAGUAGGGCCUGCCAGUUCCUUUUCUUUUAAAAAAAACGUUUGUUCUUUUCAAGAGAAAUCAUUUACAAUUCUAAAGUUCCCUGAAAAAAUUACGACUAUAAAUUCACUAAAAAAAUAAUUUACAAUUCUAAGGCACUUAAUAUAGGACGGAGGGAGUAUUAAAUUUGAAAUAGAUUAAAAGGAUUAUUACGAUUAUCUUGACUUCUAAAUAGAGCAAAAUUACAACGGGCCAUGGAGGUUCUCAAACUUGUUUUUGCUGUGUUCUUUAGGUUUUAAAAAUCUUUGUUCUUGUACCUUCUCAGAUACUGUAGGAAAUCUCAGUCCAUUAGCUAGCUUUAGAUAGUAUAUUAAUUUAGAAAAAAAGGGCAAGAACCACUGCACCGUUUAAUCAAUUAUUGUCAUCGAUCUCUCUUUUGUACAAAUUCUUAAACACCAUUAUAUGUACUCCAAGAUGGAUACUGGAAAAAGAUUUGCAGGCACACAUAAUACAAAUACAAACACUUAAAUCGGCCUGUUAUAAAAAUGGGGCAAGAAAGGGAGAAAAAAAAACACAAUAUCAAACUCCAUCCUAUUAGGUAAGGCAUCAAGAGCUUCUAUAUACAGAUACAUCAGCUCAACCUCACUCACAUCAACCAAAGGCGACAGUUCAGCCUCACUCACAAAGUCACAAGAUUCACACACACAAGGAAAGCAUCUACGCAUCUGCCUCUCUUUUUGUCUCGUCCUUUUCUUGACGCCAUUGCCAUGGAAAACCAUGUGGUUCUAUACAUAAGAUAAUUGCCGACUCGAACGCGAAAAUCACACACCGUCAUGGCUGCCAUCCAAUCCUUGCAAGAAGCCUAGAGCUUCAGCUUCACCAUGGCCGGGUGAUGGUGCGAGUCGACCAGGAUGGACCACAGGACAUGUACAUCUUCGUCCUGGCAAGACUUGACAUCUUUGUACAGGAUGCGCAUCCCCCUCCCUGCCAAGGAGAACACCAAGCACAACAAUGUCAGCAGUGCCUAACAAUGCUACAAGAAAGAGAAACAAAGCCCAUUCCUUUUCUGUAUACAAUGCUACAAAAAAGUAAUGGUCUGCACAACAACACCAAGAAUAAGAGUAAAUGAGUAAUCGAUAGAUCUUACGGUUUCUCCGUGCAGAAUGUGCCCGGACCAAGAGCUUCCUCACAGGAGAGAAGAGGGAGUGGAGCCACCCCAUGAGGAAGCCUUGAUGAGAGCCUGAGGUUAUGGCCUCAUGGGGAGGGGUGAAAUGAGGGAACAGAGGCUGCAAGGCAUGAAGAAGGAGGAGAAAAUAAAAAGGGUGGGUUAGAGAGGAAGUAACCAUCACGUUUUGCUUUUUGGCACGAGGUGAAGUUUAGUGCACUGUACCCUUCUCCUCCUGACACAUUAUGCUUCCUUGCAACCCAAUCAUGGUACUUUUCAGCGAUUCGUUCUGGUAUCUCGUCCCUUUCCACUUCUUACUCUUCCUACCGCCUGCCUUCGCUGUUAGAAAAGGCCAUGUCUAGCCCCACACCUAACCAUAGAGAAUAAUAAUAUGCUGCCAAUUUUAAAAUCCUAACCCCAGAUUUGAGGAGCCUUUCGUUGAUUUUGUUUUACUUGAAGUUGCUGUUGUACCUGUGCUUUAUAACAUACUGCCUGGUUGCUCCUCUUUUUCAAGGAAAUCAAAACAGCUUGAUUACAACCUUCCUGAUUGGAUGUAUCAUGUACAUACAUAAUUAGUAUUUCAACAAAAUAUUACAGUUUGCUAGAAAUAUAAGAAGCUGGUUACUUGAAUUAAUAAAAUGGGACAGCAGAGGGACUACAGAGGUUUGCUUGGAUAUUAAAUGUUCUUGGCUUACAUGAAAAAUAUUUGCUGCUUUUGGAAGGUGCAGGACUAUGAACAAUCAAACAUUAUUUUGUCUACUUUUAGCAGUAUCAGACCUACCAUCUAGGAUUUUACAGCUUAAUUUACAAAAAUACCACAAUAUGCAAGUAACUUGCAAAUCACUUUUGUAUUAAUAAGUAAUCCUGUAUUAAACUUGUCAUUGAGUUUUUGAAUAAAUUAUCAUACUAUGACUAAUAGGCAUACCUUUUCGCUACUGUGUCAUGUGUUGCUGGUAUGCUGCCCUUGUCAAUAUACAUAGACAAAACUUGACCAAGACUUGAUAUCUUUAAGAUUCAAAAUAUUAAAUGGGACAUUUUACAGAUCGCUGCUUAGCAGAGUGGGGAGUAACAUGUGAUAAAAUGGAAGAGUAAAUAGCUUUACCUUUACAGAAGCUUGUGCAGGAAUAGCAAGGUCCUUUGUUCUCAGUGCGGCACUGUGGGUUCAUCCAUCCAUUGCCAUGUCAUAGGAUUUUAUUUUUAAGGCUAUACUCUCAAUAAUUGAGACUUCACAUCAAUUUAUCUAGUAAGUACAAUGGAGUAAACCUGUUGAUGCUGUGUUAUUCUUACGAGCUCAAUCCAACAUUCAUCCCGACUUACCAGACCAAGCUUAACAAGACGAUAUUGUGAUCUGAACAUGGACAUCAUAAUGGUAACAGCAUCCAACUACACAAGACUUGCUCAUUUCACUGCAGCAAUAUGGCACCAAAAUUCAAACCCACGCUGUUAGUCUCAAGGAAUCCUGUUGUCAGAUCCCAACAUUUGCCAUAUAGCUUGUUUUCAUACACUAGUUACAACUCAUUGGUAUUUAAUAAGUGUGCUGCACAUGACAUGCAUAGCCUGGCCUGAUUGACCUGAUUAGAGCUGCAAGUUUGUGACCCUCAGGGUACCCUUUGACCCUGCUUAGUUCAACCAAAUGAACUAAAGUUUGAAAAUGACACAACUUUUUGAAAAACUAGGGUCAAAGGGUACCCUGAGGGUCACCAUGUUGCACCCUUAGACCUGAUGAUCAACAACUACAACUAAAGCUAGUGCACAGUGCAAAACCCUGGUAAUCCUGGUCCAGCCCAUUUUGCACUCAACCAAAACGUUGUUGCAACUUUGAUUAGUACGAUUUGAUGUAUGACUUCAGCAAAUCCAAUACUGUCGAGAAUAUCAAAUGGAUAUUAUCUUCAGUUGAGACAGCAAAUAGCAUGUGUAAAAUUCAACCAGUAUGGUCGUAAAGUGUUAAGUUUCUUUUCUAAAUGCACACAGUAUGGUUGCGAAGUGAUCAGUAUUGUUUUCUCUAGGCGAAACAACUAUCAGCUACUCCGUACUUCAUUGCACCAAAAAUCACAUAAUCACUUUUCCCAUGUCAGUAUCAGGACACACUAAAAUUUCUUUGGUACUUCAAUCCUCCCUUCAUACAGCCAUGCCUCACUGACUAAGAAAAGUAGGAAUAGUUUCUAGCUAAAAACUAGCACUGCAAUCAGGUAGUCCUCCUGAUAGAAAAAUAAUCCCCUAAGGUAUCAAUCAAUAAACAUUCAGAAAAUAACAACCAUUGGUUCAGAGGUUCUUCUCAAAUGUCACUAUCCAGGGAAGCCAUAUACUUUGUCUGCAUUCACCACAAAUGCAAGCUUUUAUAAAGCUUGAAAUAUAUCUGCAAUUAACCAAGUUGUAGCUACAAUAAAUUCUGGAUGAAUGGACAGGUAACUAACACACAACAGACAACACCCUGUGUCUAAAAGAAACAAAUGGUCUGCGAGCUAAUAUGAGACCAAAACUGUCUGCAUUGAAUGGUUUCAGUGCUGGUUAGAUAAAUUUCAUUGUGAAGGCUCUGUUUGAAUUUAGAAGACUAAAUUGAUGAAUUUAAGAUUGUUUCCAAGAGAUAAAUCAAGCUAGCCAUAAUUCAUGUUAAGCGACACCAACAAGCUCUACUCAUAUCUGUCUAGGUCGAGCUGCACACAGAGUAGAGAUCAAUUCAGGAAACCCAAAGAUCAACUUCAAGCUCCACUAGGUCACAGGUAAAGAAUUUUCUGGACCUAGAGCUAUUUCAGGACUAUCCUUUGUAGUAUUCAUAAUAAUAAUUUAUGAACUGCACUUUUGUAUAUGGCAGUUUCUUUAAUGGAAAUCGGUGGGUAGGCCUACUGUUUAAAAAACUACUACAGCAUAACUAACCAUGUCUUGCUUGCUUUAGUAGGACUUGGUCCAUUUCAGACUCCCAUGACUACAGUUUCAAAAAGAAAAUAUCAUGAACCACACAAUCUUCUGUUGGAAGGGAAGCAUCAAGUGAAUUAAAUGCAUUCAAUAAAAUCACAAAAUACUACAAGAAGCAAAUUAUGAAAUAAAGUGGUGUCCUUAUCUGAGAAGAAAAAAUUGAGCUGUGAGAUUUAAAUGUUUUGUUGAUAACUCAGGAUAAUGCAUUGUUUAAUAUGUCAAACAUCAGAGCUGAAGUGGUCCAGCAAACAAAGCUUAAUUUCAGUGGCUAUCAUUGCCGAUGGUCAAUGCAAUCUCCUUAUAUAAAAAAAACAGAGUUAAGCCUGCCUUACUGGUUAGCCACAUGGUACAUAUCAUCACUACAACAAGAAAAACACUGCAAGAAUGCACACAAAGAAAAGAGGAAAAUUACAAGAUGACCACUUUAAGGGAUUUAUAAAAUGGUAUUCCCUCCGAUCCAUAAAAAGUGUCGCCCACUUAGUACAAAAUUUUUACUGACUUAGUACAAAAUGGGCGACACUUUUUAUGGAUCGGAGGGAGUAUCAACCAAUGUGAAUUUUACGUAUCUUCGUUAAGUUGUAGCAUCUGACUUCAGGGUUCUCACUAUGCUUGUCGGUCUCCUGCAGAAAAUGGGCAUAUUCAGAUGCCUACAUAUAAGCACAAAAAGGACUGUCAUCAGUGUACAGACUUGAUGCUCAAGCAUUCCAUUUGUCUUGAUUCCUCGAAAGAUCCACUUUUGCACAUGGAUAGAAGUUAUAUUGUGAUAUUACUUUACAAGUUUGUUGUGGUAACAUUUGUUACUGGUCAUAAGGGAACAAAAGGGGAGAACAGCAUGUAGAAGUUAGAAGAAAAGAAUCAUUAUAUAAUACCAUUAAUAUUAAAAAAUACUCUGUAUCCGGACUUCCAGUAUAUACCUUACAUCAUGACAACAUUCUUUCUUAGAGCAUUGCCAUAGUUAAACUAGUUAGAGCAUUAGAACCGGUCUCACUUAAGGCACGAGGUAGGGAAAGAAGUGACAGAAACACACAGCAAUAUCACAGAAUCUUGCCAGAUAGUUCAAACACAACGUUUAAAAAGGAUGGCAAAACCAAAAAGGAAAAGAAAAUGAAAAAACAUAUAUUGGAGUCUUCAUAGCACUCCUAAGAACAGACACUCAGUGAAACAUCUUGUUAGCACUAGAAAGGAGGCAAGUGCAGAAACAAAUUAUGAUCCUGCAAGCACCUACUCAACCUUCCAUGCAUAUAGGAUCAGCGAGAAACCAAGACCUUGUAGCUGAGACUCCCUAAAAAUCUGUGAGUAUGACCACGGCAUCGACUUCUCAGGUGCUUGGGAUGUCUGAAACAUGAACACUGCAUUGCUUGUCGACGAUCCAAAGAGCCAACUGUGGACAUCCCAGAACACCUCCACAGGCAAUCCAUCGACGAGAAUUGUCUGAUUUCCCCUAAACUUCCAUGCCAGCCUCUUCACCUGCAUGACCGGUUUCUUAUCGAUACGUAUCUCAAGACAUGGAUCCUUGAGGCUGACAGCAUCGCACUCUAUCACAACAUCAUGAAACUGGCCAUUGUCGCAGAACUGCGCCUUCGCUGAGUAAAUCUUCUUACCAUAUAUGUGCUCUCUCCUUGCUACGAAAGCGGCGUUCGACAUGGGUCGAUUCAUGCCGGUCUUCCGGUAGGCGUCCUUUUUCAUGUCACCGAGCAAGAGCACCAGCUCAAGGUCGAACACCACAGCGACAUAGAACCCCUCCAGUGGUUCUGGCCCUGUGCUGAACUUGGCGCCCGAGAGGUCCCAGAAGAUCUCAAUCUUGCCGCUGUCGACGUCGAGGCUCUUGGACCCCUUCUUCUUGGAAAAGAGCCAUGGCUUAAUUUCUGCCUUGCACAGGGACUGGCCGGACAAGCCGUCCACGCCGAUGCUGAGGCCCUGCCCCAUGAGGCUCUUGCUCCAUGUGACCGAGAUCACGCAGGGCCUGCCCGAGAACUGCGCCUGGUAGAGGCAGGUCACCAGGUUCUGUGCCGCGCCCUUGCCGGCGCUCGACGAGGACGACGCCGCGUCCGCGAUCUGGACGCCGCUCUCCCCGAAGCACGAUGGGAAGUCCCUCAUGCUCCGAACUUUUCAGCGAACACCUUGCGUGCAACCCAGCUCAGAGCACAGCGCGAUGCCCCCACUCCUCCACUUGAGCUCCCCCGCAAUGCCGGCCAAGGGAAGCGGCGGCGCAGAGCUCUCUCCUGCCAGCAGAUAUACAGACUGCCGCAGAAGAUAAUUUUUUUUUGCUCGAUCCAGCAACGCCGCCGCAAGUGACCGCGAGAUCCCCAACCUUUACUGCCGAAAGCAGCAGCAAGAACCGCCCAAAAAGCAAAGGGCCCGAGGCAGAGCGAUCGAUCCGGCAGCAAGCUUCCCUCACGAAGCCGCCGUCUUCCAGUGCAAUCAAAGCGAGGCCACACGCUCCCGGCCAGCCUUGCCCCGAAACCGCGGCAGGGAAGCAACCGUCUUUCACACAGAUUUCUCCAGAAUCGGCCCCAAAUUGCCACAGAAGCAACCGCACGAAGAACAGCAAAGCAACAUGAAAAUUUCUUCCCCGGGUAAGGAUUCAAGCCAAGAGAGCCUGCAGGCAGCCACGAGAAGACGGAGAGAUAUGUGGAGACAUGGGAGAGGAGGCCAGGGAGUACCAGCAACCAGUGCGCUAGGAACCGCAGGAGGCAACGAGGAGGAGCAAGCAAAGCAAGAAGCAGCAAGGAAGUGAAGAGUAGCAGCCAGGAGGAGUAGGAGAGUAGUAGUGACUCACUGGGGGAAAGGAGACAAAAGGUUUGGGGGGAUCAAAUCAAUGGAGCCCUACUACAAGAUGCCACACAACAACACACUCACUGUCAGCCAACUCAUGGUGGUGGAGGAGAAGAGGAGCAGGUGCUGCCUGCUCUCCUUUCUCUUUUGUAACUGCUGCCAUGCCAUUUGCCCAUGGUUUGUAGCCUAGCCUGUUUACAAUCUUGCAAGCUUCCUGGGAAUCUAGGAACUCCCUUUAGAAAAAGAAAAGCAGAGCUUCUUGAAGAUUGAGAUCUUACUACCAAGACAACAGCAGGAAAAAUUCAGUUCGUGGCUGGGUGUGAAAUUAUCAGUCCAACUGUAUGAAUAGGAUAAGCCGUUUUUUAAUAUCAUUGGAUCAAUAAGCUAGGAGGAGGAGGUGAAGAAAUCCAAUGUUGGAGACAAUUGUCAGUGUGUCACAAUGUUGGAAAGAAUUUGGUCCUCUGGGUGGUACUUCCUCUCUCUUCAUCAGUCUUCAUUGAGUCUAUGCUGCCUUUUGCCAUGAGAAUGUCAGCAGCUUUAAAAAAAUAUUUUUCCAUGCAGGGGAGGACAAGUUCACAUGCAUCACAGUGAAAAAAUGACCGGAGGGUGUACCCUGCUACAGAUACUCCAGUGUUUACUCUGGGUACCCCAUCUCUUGCUGUUUUUCCCUGGCAUGGUUUUAGUUAUAGAAAUGUGCUUACAAGAUUAUACAUGUCCACUUGAUUGUUAUUAUUGCAGAGUGGGUGUAAGAUGGGUCUAAUCCUGUGUAGGUGAUGAUGCCCCCCCAAAUAUUUUUAACAAAAAAAAGGCAAAGGCAAAUUGAGCAUUGUAUUGCCAUGUUUACCCUUCUCUAUGUGUAUACUUAUUUAUAUGGUGACACAUGCUUUCUCAAUUAUUGCCUCCAUAUGAACUGUUGAUACAUACACCAUCCAUUUCUUAUGCACUCCAUGAUUGAGAGUGCACAAAUUAAGUACAGAAUUCUAUUCCAUAGAUUAUUUUCUCUCCAAGUUGACUUUAGAUCAAGUGAAGACCUAGUGCUAGCACCGGUACUAGAAAUAUUUUUUGUCACAUGUAAGUACAUGCCAAUAAGUAAAGAAUGCACAUGGAGAAACAAAUGAAAAGGAUGGUUUUCAUGCAGUCUUAAAUUGCACCAAGGCUCGGGCGCUCCGUCAAGCUGUUAGAUGCAACUGGACACUUCCUCCCGACUGUGAACUUCAACGGUCUGGACCAGAUUGGGUUCUUUUAUCCUUGAGAAGAGUAAAUGAUGAUUGUAGGGGAAAACUGAUGCUUAUUUGGUGGAGAUCCUGGCACUUGAGGAAUGACAUAAUCUUCAGUAAAGGUGACGCUUUUGUUACUGCCUCUGCUCAGUUCUUAUUCAGCUAUGCAAAGACUUUGGCUUCUCUCGAGGGCCGUAUCCCUGCUCCAGACCCCAAAGGGAAAUCUCCUCUGUUUGAUAUGAGUGCUGCUCCUCUGAUGCCGGCGACGCAAAAAUUGUUUAAAUGGAAACCACCCGAGACGGGCUGGAUAAAGCUGAAUGUUGAUGCUAGCUUCUUUGCAAGUUCUGGUGCUGCUGCUUGGGGCGCGAUCAUCAGGGAUGAGAAUGGCAGUGUCCUUGUCUCGGCCUGGAACUUGAUCAAUCACUGUCCGAAUGCGGAGACGGCAGAAGGGACUGCUUGCUUAGAGGGGAUUAAUUUGGCGAGACAGUUCUGCAACUUGCUUUUGGUGGUUGAGAGCGGCUGCCAAAGCCUCAUUUCUCUGAUCUGGGCAUACUUCGAGAGCCCCCCUGCGUUCUACUCUUCUGGAUAUCCGUCAGUUAGCCCUGUUGUUUAUUAGAUUUCAGUUUACUAGUAGGCUUAAUAACAGUGUGGCUCACGAGAUUGCUAAUUUCUGUCUUAGAGUCUCUUCAGGUGGUGUUUUAAGGAGAGGUGUGCCUCCCUGCGUGGAGUGCCUGGUGGAGUACGAUUGUAAUAACUUUGUUUCUUGAGUAAUUUAAAACCCCCCUUUCAAAAAAAAAAGAAACAAAUGAAAACUACCAGUGGUACCGGUAGUUUGUUUGUGUACCCCAAGCUGUGAGAGAACUGAAAUCAAUGGGAAUGACAACGGUUUUCUUGGAUCUGGGCCCCGCUCAUCUCAUCAGUUAACUGCACGCCCACGAGGGUGCAUUUAUUCACCUCCUCAGGAGAUCCAUACUCUUCUCCCCCCUUCAGCUGCUUCAUCUCCAAGCAAAGGUACCCAGAAAUUUGACACAUUUUUAAAGGAUCAAAUUCUGCAGUCUGGAGGAGCAACGGGGCUCUUCCAAUUCGAAGAAAAGGGAAGAAAUUAAGAGAGUUAUUUGCAAGUUUGUAUCACAAGACGCGUUUAUUAGUUUUCUUGUCCCAACUGCUUCAAGCAAAAUCUUAAACUGAUUCAAAGGGUUUAACUAUAUGAUUGAAUUAAUAAGUUAAAUUAAUCAUCAUACAUACACUGUUGUUUGUAUAUGUUUUCGGGGAGUCGGUGAGGUGUAACUUCCAUUAGCAUACAAACUUGAGAUUUAAAUUUUAAAUUUGCUUUGUCUUUUGCGGUGACCUUUAAAGUGAAGAAGGUGAACACUUUCUGUACUAAUCUUGCACCCACCUCACUUGAACCAAAGCAAUGCCGUACUACUCCUGUGGAGACAUGGAGUAGAACGCUAUCUGUUGAACACCUUAUUUCUUCGGGUACAAACUUUGCUGUUCAUGAAGAACUUUCCUCGUUCAGGGCCCCAUCUCAAUUACUGACCUAAGCCAACCAAACAUAAUGGUAGGUAUAUAGCUGGUGUUCAGUAGCCAAUUUCUCCCAACACUCUGUCAGCAGGGUGUUAACUAACGUGAUGUUAUAAUUACUCAAACUGAAAUCAACUAUUAGUAUCACUCCCUUUUUCUAUCAGAGUGAAAUGUUGGAUGAAUUUAGAGGGCACACUUCCAUUCGUAGGAUUGAUUCCAAAAAUGGAGAAGUCAAGAGAAUUUGGCAGAGAAACAAUCUGCAGUGUAAAUUUGUACUUUUCUGUCACCUUACCUGAACACACACACAAAAAAAAAUGCAAAGUUUUGGAUCAUGCAUGGUACAAAAUGUACGUUUAAUCCAGGAAUGCACAUGCUUUGCUGUACAUUUGAAGCAGGGAAUAAUGCACACACAGCGGUUGUCACUUUGCUUUCUGGCCCUGCUGGCAACCCUUUUGGCAUGAUACGAGCAUGUCCAUUUUGUAUCCUCCAAGAUACGAUCAUGCCGAUGCAUGCACGCAUAUAUGCACAGAUCGGUCGACCAGGAAAUAUACGUGUGUGCAGAUCGAUGGGCGUUGCUGAUGCUGCCAUCCAGAAGAAGUUAAUGAGAUUACGAUCAUUUUGAUUUGGUGAUGGCAAGAAAGAUUGCGUGCUUUUGUAUAAUUGAGACAUGAGCAUAGCAUUGUUUUUGAAUUUUAGGUAUCAUGUGCGCCUUUGAAUGAUAGAAAUAGUUAAUGAUGGAUUUAUGCAUGAAAAUAUGGCCAUCGCUUUCUUACAGAAACGAAAUCCGACAAGAGAGAAGGUGCAGAAGCCAAAUUAAAAUUCUUUUAUGUAUAAUUUUCGUUUAAUUAUCUUGAGCGAGCUAUCUGGCAAAUCUGAUUACCUUGUUGGUAUCACUCCCUCGGUUUAUAAAUAUCUGUAAAUGCAGUUUUUUUACAGAAAAAAUAAAUAUUUGUGUCUGUUCUUUGAGAUGAUUAUUAUGCAUUUUUCUGAGGACUGAAGAUAUGAAUAGUACAAAGUUCAUUUUAUCAUGUGUAUGCUGCAAGGAAAAAAAACUAUAUUAUGCCCCUGAUUUGGUGGCAAUGAUCGAAAUGAAAAGGCUAGCUAGCAGCUAAGCUAAUGAGCGGUGACUUUACAGCUUACGGGCAAAUUAAUUAAGAGCCUAACCAUCGAUGAGGGACAAAAAGUGACAUGCAUGCGUUACCAACAGUGACUUCUUUUAGAUAUGAUACUGAAUGGAGCACUCCUAUUAGCUAGCUGUCAGGAGCACUCAGAUGUUGCUAAGCCUGCUGAUAAUAUUGUCUGGGAUUGAAGGAGCAUAGUUAGAUAACCAAAAGAACUCCUGUUAGUUGGCUGGUUGGGCUCCAUUUUCCUAUACAAAAAAGUUCUCCCAAAUAUUCACCAGCCGUGCCGAUGUAUGUUCAUCGGCAGGGCUGGUUCUUCCAACUACCUCGGUGAGUGGUGAUCCGAUAACCGCUAACUUUUUUUAAUAAUACAAAUUAAAUAAUUAUUUUUGAAAAUAAUAAGUGUUUUUCAGAAUUUUCAAAAAUAAUACGUCCUCGGUAUGGGCGAUUAGCUUCAGUUGGCCUGACCGAAACCGAUUAGGACAACUAAUCGGCUUGGGCGAAGCUGAUUAGUUCCAGUUGGUUUGGGCGAAGCUGAUUAGUUCUAAUUGGUUUCGUCCAAGCCGAUUGGAACUAAUCAGAUCUGACUGCACUAAUCAGUUUCUCCUAAGUUACUUAGUUGCAUUAUCAAUGCAUGUUUAAAUAGACGUAGCUUGUGUUUCGUCCACAAACCUAGCAAUUCGACUGAAAUUAAGGCACAACUGAAAUUAAGAUAACAAAUUAACAUAAGCUGGUUACAGAACUGAGGCACGAUUGGACUGAAAAUAAAACAAAUUGUCCAAUCGUGUCUCAGUUCUGUAACCAGCUUCUUUAAUUUUCUCUCUGAAUUUCAGUCGAAUUGCUGGGUUUGUGGACGAAACACAAGUUAUGUCCAUUUAAACAUGCAUUGACCAUGCAACUAAGUAGCUUGGGAAAAUUGAUUAGUUCAGUCGGAGAUGAAUAGUUCCAAUCGGCUUGGGCGAAACCAACUGGAACUAAUCAGCUUCGGCCAGACCAGGCCCUAAUUGGCUUCGGCUAGGCCGAUUGGAGCUAUUUAAAAAAUGAUUAUUUAAUUCAUAUUAUUUUUUAAAAAAUAACCCCGAUAACCAGCAGGUUACAGGAUGAAGUAUGGAAGUGUGGUCAGAGUGGAUUAAUUAUACACAGAUAUGGUUUUCACGCAUAUAUUUGUAGACGCUCUAUUCCAGAUUAUUAGAAGUUUUAUUUUACCUUUGUCCUAUAAUCAGGAUUUUUAAAAAAGGUCGACCAAAUUAGUUACUUUUUUACGAAUAUUUAUACUCUCAAAGAAGUACAUACUAUUAUGAAAAUAUAUAUCAUGAUGAUUUAGUGGAAAUAAUAUGGUAUAUUUUCUUGUAAACUUGUCAAACUUUAAGAAGUUUCGAUUAGGACAAAACAUAAAACAUCAUAUAGUUUGAAGAUUCACGAGCUUAUUUUGGGUCUCAAUUCUAGUACUAUCUCCGAUCCAUAUUAAUUGUCGAAAUAUUACAUGUUUGAACACCUCGAGAGACCGAGCCGGCAGUUCUUGAGAAAUGACGAAGUCACCGUAGGCGUCUCGUUGUUAACUGGUACGUCACCUACCAAUGAAAAAAUAGCGCCGAUUAAAUCCUGAAAUAAAUCCAGGUAAAUAUGAACACCCAUGUCAAAUUUAGAUCUUGAACAUGAGUGGGCUAGUUCCAUCAAAGGAACCAUCCCAACUGAGCCAGUUCACUUCUGACUUGGAGCCUGAAGUAGCUGCAGAUGGGCUUUGCUUGAUCUACACUUAUCCCCUUUAAUUUUCUCGCGCUUUUUGUCAGGGGUCGUCGAGUUGCUCCAGCUAGCUAGCUAGGGCCGGUGAGCUCGGGAUCGAUCGUCGAUUAUCCCGGUGUACGUACUUAUUGCUUGCUUUUUUGCGGGAUGAAUCGGUUGCUUGACUUACGGCCGGCUACCGGAUAAUUGAUUCAGUAUAAUUACAAUUAACGUGCAGUGCAGGGUCAUCGUGGGGGAACACGUACGUGUUACUAACAUGAAAAUAAUAAGCUCACUCGUGGAGCAGGACGUUUUUUAGACAUGAAUACAUUCAUGUUUGAACAAAUUUGAAUCAUUUAGUAUGGGACGGAGGGAGUAGAACUUUAGAAGUACAGUUCCACGUGCACCUAGUAAGUACUGCGCUAAUUGUUUAUGUCGUUUUGGACCAAAGCCGAGAACAAGUUAGGAGUAAUAAACUGAACGAAGAAUGGACAUUCAGAUCUCUGGCGUGACAAUUUUUCUUUCAUCUUGUAACAACUCUGGCUUUGAAGCGUGGAAUAAUAUAUUCAUGUUCUGAGUCUUUCAUCCCGAUGAUUGCCUAAAGAAAACUGAAUGAGGAACGAUUCGUACACGUUCGCAGGUUACAACUAGUACCGGCGCCGGAUGGAUCGAGUCCGCCGACACGAGACUAGUAAAAGGAAGCCAUAGCUUAGCCGGUACGCGGUAGCGGCAGCAGAGUAGCCUGCUUUCGGCCUCUGCAUAUAUCACUGCAUGCGCCCGGUCGGUUCUAACACCUGUCCCUCGUCCCAUCAGGCAUCAGCAACCGAAGCGUAGCACGGAACGCACGGUCGGUCGUUUCCUUGACGUACCGCAUGCCUAGCUUGUUUCUGAAACCACACGUGUACUGGGCUACUGGUCGCAUCAAGCGCCGAAAUUAAUCGGUUAAACCCGUACCGUACGUACGUGUUCCUUCCGACUAAUGGAUGGAUGGAUGGAUGGAUUGAUUCGGGAGUGCAUGCGCCUUCUUCAUAUUUUUUUGCUGCUUUGCUUCUCUUCAACUGUUCCAGCGCCUAAUAAGCCGCCGUGCACCGUGGGCCGGCGACGGCCCCGAUUAGCACAAUACCGCAUUCUUUUUAAUUAAUUUUCUUCUUCCAUGUUUCAUAAUUCUUGUCUCAAAUCUAGAACGGAAGAAAGGAGCUGUUUCAUAAUUCUCGUCUUAAAUCUAGAACGGAAGAAGGAGCAGGUG